CACUGCCUUCUCUCUCUCUCUCUCUCUCUCUCUAUCUCUCUCUCUGGUGUUCGGUCGGUCGGCCGGUCGGUCCAAGGUGCGUCUAUGGAUUCCGAGGAAGACAUCCUGGGAAGCAACAGCGUCGAGGAUGUCGCUUGGCUCUGUUCUCUGUCGGAAUCGGAGCUCGAUCUUCUGAUGAGCUUGAAGGCGCUGGCGCUCCAACGAGCGAGGGUGAUCGGCCGGGAGCAUCUCGCCGAGAGGUUCGAUCUGAAGAUGCUCCGAGCCAUGGGGAUGAUUUUAAUGGAGCAUCUCAAAGGGAAGGUUAAGGAUUUGGAAGGAAUCCCUGGUUUGGCUGGUUCUGCCUCACAUCUAGAUGCAUCCAAUUUAUUGAAGUCGAGUCUUGAGAAUGGUAUGACACUUGAGGACAUAAAGGCAUGUCUGGAUACUCAUUUGAAGAAAGGACCAUUAAAGAGGCAACGCGAAGAAGUGACGCCAUAGGAGAAAAGGCAGGAUGAUGAAAUGUAGAAGUUUGUAUGACCUCAUCAAUUCGAAGGGACGAGUAGAAGAUUUUCUAAGCCCUAGAUGCUUCCUUUGUUGUUUGCACUGAUAACAUACACAACAAUACAGCAAAUCUCAGUUGUCAUUUGCUCAGCGCAGUUCUGAAGCUAUGGGGUAAAGAAACUAGUGCGGGCGAUUUUCUCUUAGCAUAUACAUUGUUAUGACUCUAAUAUAUAUGUCA